AGGGUUUGAUCCUGGCUCAGGAUGAACGCUAGCGGCAGGCCUAACACAUGCAAGUCGAACGGUAACAUGAAGUGCUUGCACUUUGAUGACGAGUGGCGCACGGGUGCGUAACGCGUAUACAAUCUACCUUUUACAGAGGGAUAGCCCAGAGAAAUUUGGAUUAAUACCUCAUGGUAUUGAGAAUCGGCAUCGAUUUUCAAUUAAAGAUUUAUUGGUAAAAGAUGAGUAUGCGUUCUAUUAGCUAGUAGGUAAGGUAACGGCUUACCUAGGCAACGAUAGAUAGGGGCCCUGAGAGGGGGAUCCCCCACACUGGUACUGAGACACGGACCAGACUCCUACGGGAGGCAGCAGUGAGGAAUAUUGGACAAUGGAGGCAACUCUGAUCCAGCCAUGCCGCGUGCAGGAAGACUGCCCUAUGGGUUGUAAACUGCUUUUAUACGGGAAGAAACACCGCUACGUGUAGCGGCUUGACGGUACCGUAAGAAUAAGGAUCGGCUAACUCCGUGCCAGCAGCCGCGGUAAUACGGAGGAUCCAAGCGUUAUCCGGAAUCAUUGGGUUUAAAGGGUCCGUAGGUGGAUAAUUAAGUCAGAGGUGAAAUCCUGCAGCUCAACUGUAGAAUUGCCUUUGAUACUGGUUAUCUUGAGUCAUUAUGAAGUAGUUAGAAUAUGUAGUGUAGCGGUGAAAUGCGUAGAUAUUACAUAGAAUACCAAUUGCGAAGGCAGAUUACUAAUAAUGUACUGACACUGAUGGACGAAAGCGUGGGGAGCGAACAGGAUUAGAUACCCUGGUAGUCCACGCCGUAAACGAUGGAUACUAGCUGUUCGGACUUCGGUCUGAGUGGCUAAGCGAAAGUGAUAAGUAUCCUA
rnacentral:rRNA from 1 species